rnacentral:rRNA from 1 species
CCUACGGGAGGCAGCAGUGAGGAAUAUUGGUCAAUGGACGAGAGUCUGAACCAGCCACGUCGCGUGAAGGAUGACUGCCCUAUGGGUUGUAAACUUCGUUUAUAUGGGAAUAAAAUGUUCCACGUGUGUGAUUUUGUCUGUACCAUAUGAAUACGGAUCGGCGGACUCCGUGCCAGCAGCCACGGUAAUACGGGGGAUGCAAGCGUUAUCCGGGUGUAUUGGGUUUAAAGGGUGCGUAGGCUGUGAGGUCAGUCAGCGGUGAAAUGCCCCAGCUCAACGGGGUGCAGUGCCAUUGAUACUGCCGUGCUGGAAUGCGGAUGCCGUGGGAGGAAUGUGUGGUGUAGCGGUGAAAUGCAUAGAUAUCACACAGAACACCGAUUGCGAAGGCAUCUCACGAAGCCGCGAUUGACGCUGAGGCACGAAAGCGUGGGUAUCAAACAGGAUUAGAUACCCGGGUAGUC